AAGUAACUACAUAUGAUCGA
rnacentral:miRNA from 1 species